AACAAAGCCUAAGGAACAAAGGAACAAAGCCUAAGGGACAAAGGAACAAAGCCUAAGGAACAAAGGAAUAAAGCCUAAGGAACAAGGAGACAUCAAAUAAUAACGGCAAGGGUCGUUGACGCCAAAGGGUGGCACAAAGGAUAGAAGUAAAGGACACACUGCAGCGGCUUAUUGGCUGAAAUAAUACAAAAAGAAAACCACGUGUGUAAGGACUGGUAAAGGCGCAGGAACAAAGCCUAAGGAACAAAGGAACAAAGCCUAAGGGACAAAGGAACAAAGCCUAAGGAACAAAGGAAUAAAGCCUAAGGAACAAGGAGACAUCAAAUAAUAACGGCAAGGGUCGUUGACGCCAAAGGGUGGCACAAAGGAUAGAAGUAAAGGACACACUGCAGUGGCUUAUUGGCUAAAAUAAUACAAAAAGAAAACCACGUGUGUAAGGACUGGUAAAGGCGCAGGAACAAAGCCUAAGGAACAAAGGAACAAAGCCUAAGGGACAAAGGAACAAAGCCUAAGGAACAAAGGAAUAAAGCCUAAGGAACAAGGAGACAUCAAAUAACAACGGCAAGGGUCGUUGACGCCAAAGGGAGGCACAAAGGAUAGAAGUAAAGGACACACUGCAGCGGCUUAUUGGCUGAAAUAAUACAAAAAGAAAACCACGUGUGUAAGGACUGGUAAAGGCGCAGGAACAAAGCCUAAGGAACAAAGGAACAAAGCCUAAGGGACAAAGGAACAAAGCCUAAGGAACAAAGGAAUAAAGCCUAAGGAACAGGGAUACAUCAAAUAAUAACGGCAAGGGUCGUUGACGCCAAAGAGUGGCACAAGGAUAGAAGUAAAGGACACACUGCAGCGGCUUAUUGGCUGAAAUAAUACAAAAAGAAAAC